GGCAUCUGUAGCUCGGUGGGCAGAGCACCCGCUUUGCCCGCACAAGGUCCUGGGUUCAAUCCCCGGCGUCGCCA